GGGUCCCUACGGGGGGCAGCAGUGAGGAAUAUUGGUCAAUGGGCGAGAGCCUGAACCAGCCAAGUCGCGUGAAGGAUGACGGCCCUACGGGUUGUAAACCUCUUUUGUCGGGGAGCAACGAGGCCACGUGUGGCCGAAGUGAGAGUACCCGAAGAAAAAGCAUCGGCUAACUCCGUGCCAGCAGCCGCGGUAAUACGGAGGAUGCGAGCGUUAUCCGGAUUUAUUGGGUUUAAAGGGUGCGUAGGCGGAACAUUAAGUCAGCGGUAAAAUCGAGGGGCUCAACCCCUUUAAGCCGUUGAGACUGG
rnacentral:rRNA from 1 species